rnacentral:misc_RNA from 1 species
AGCAGCCGCGGUAAUUCCAGCCCCAAUAGCGUAUAUUAAAGUUGUUGCAGUUAAAAGCUCGUAGUUGAAUUUCGGGAUUUAUCCGUCGGUCGGGCUUUUGGGUCUGUACUGGGGUGAUGAAUUCCUACCUUCUGAAUAACCAGCAUGCCAUUAAUUUGGUGCGCCGGGGAAGCAGGACUGUUACCUUGAAAAAUUGAGUGCUUAAAGCAGGCUAUUGCCUGAAUACAUUAGCAUGGAAUAAUGAAAUAGGACGGCAUGGUUCUAUUUUGUUGGUUUCUAGGAUCACCGUAAUGAUUAAUAGGGAUAGUUGGGGGCAUUAGUAUUCAAUUGUCAGAGGUGAAAUUCUUGGAUUUAUUGAAGACUAACUUCUGCGAAAGCAUUUGCCAAGGAUGUUUCCAUUAAUCAAGAACGAAAGUUAGGGAUCGAAGACGAUCAGAUACCGUCGUAGUCUUA